UGAAUUUGUGGUUACAUCACAAAAAAAAAAUUAAAAUGUUUUCACGAAAAAAUUAAUUUACUAAAUCACAUUGAUGGCGCAGUCUGUCAUUAAUUUGCAGUUUUUAUACAUCAAAGUGUUAGGUAGAUUUAUAAUACAUAUAUUU